CGUAGGUGGCAAGCGUUGUCCGGAUUUAUUGGGUUUAAAGGGUGCGUAGGUGGCCCUGUAAGUCAGUGGUGAAAUAUCUCAGCUUAACUGAGAGGGUGCCAUUGAUACUGCAGGGCUUGAGUACAGAUGAGGUAGGCGGAAUUGACGGUGUUGCGGUGAAAUGCAUAGAUAUCGUCAAGAACACCGAUAGCGAAGGCAGCUUACCAAGCUGUAACUGACACUGAGGCACGAAAGUGUGGGGAUCAAACAGGAUUAGAUACCCUGGUAGUCCACACUGUAAACGUUGAUGACUCGAUGUUGGCGAUACACAGCCAGCGUCCAAGAGCAAUCGUUAAGUCAUCCACCUGGGGAGUACGCCGGCAACGGUG
rnacentral:rRNA from 1 species